UCUACGGGAGGCAGCAGUGGGGAAUAUUGCACAAUGGGGGAAACCCUGAUGCAGCAACGCCGCGUGAGCGAAGAAGGCCUUUGGGUCGUAAAGCUCUGUCCUAAGGGAAGAAGAAGUGACGGUACCUUAGGAGGAAGCCCCGGCUAACUACGUGCCAGCAGCCGCGGUAAUA
rnacentral:rRNA from 1 species